rnacentral:rRNA from 1 species
AUUGAACGCUGGCGGCAGGCUUAACACAUGCAAGUCGAGCGAGCGGCGGACGGGUGAGUAAUGUCUGGGAAACUGCCUGAUGGAGGGGGAUAACUACUGGAAACGGUAGCUAAUACCGCAUACCAUCAAAUGUGCCCAGAUGGGAUUAGCUAGUAGGUGGGGUAAUGGCUCACCAAGGCGACGAUCCCUAGCUGGUAGGAGAGGAUGACCAGCCACACUGGAGCUGAGACACGGUCCAGACUCCUACGUGAGGUAGCAGUGGGAAAGUUUGCACAAUGGGCGCAAGCCUGAUGCAGCCAUGCCGGUUGUGUGGAGAAGGCCUUCGGGGUGGAAAGCACUUUCAGCGAGGAGGCGUUACUCGCAGAAGAAGCACCGGCUAACUCCGUGCCAGCAGCCGCGGUAAUUG